ACCUGGCUGGCUCAGUCGGUAGAGUGUGGGACUUUUGAUCUCAGGGCUGUGAGUUCAAAACCCAUGUUGGGUA